UACGUAGGGGGCGAGCGUUGUCCGGAUUCAUUGGGCGUAAAGCGCGCGCAGGCGGUGGCGUGAGCCCGGCGUGAAAGCCCCCAGCUCAACUGAGGGAGGCCGUCGGAGACCGCGGCACUUGAGGCCGGUAGGGGAGAGCGGAAUUCCCGGUGUAGUGGUGGAAUGCGUAGAUAUCGGGAGGAACACCAGUGGCGAAGGCGGCUCUCUGGACCGGUUCUGACGCUCAGGCGCGAAAGCGUGGGGAGCGAUCCGG
rnacentral:rRNA from 1 species